rnacentral:lncRNA from 1 species
CUUUGGGUUAGUUAAUUAACCUUUCUGUGCUUCUUCUCCUAUUCGAGGGAUAAUAUUUCCUUCCUCAAAGGGUUCUGGGAGGCUUAAAUGAAUCUCUGUACGUAAAGUACGUAGACCAUUCUCCAGCACUCAGUGAGUGCUCGGUAACUAAUGGCUGUUAAGUCUGUUGUAACACAUGACUGGCAGACAUUAUGUAAAAAUACAGCAGCAUGGUUAAGUCCAAGGAAAGGAAACUAACUUUUAGCAGAUGACUGCUCUCUUUCAGGCGUUGGAACGGCUAUUUUCUCAGGAGGCCUCCUUUAGUCUUCACAGUAGCCCUAUGAGGUAAGUCCACCUUCCUCCUGUUCGUCCCUGUCUGAGGUGUUGUGGAAGUCCUCAGGAGCCCUCUGCGUGAGCUGGCAUACAGUCACCGAUGUAAUUCCUCAGGAAGUCACUGGAGGGCAGCAGUUCCCUCUCACCCCACCCCAGCCCUGGAGAGGAUGCUGCUAUCAGGCCAAGAACAUUUCUGAAGCGGCAAACUCUCAAAGUGCUGCAUGGCAACUGCACAGAAACAGGGGAAUAUCCCUCUCCAUGUUCUUGAUCACACUUUGUCACCAUGGAGUCCCACAUGGAAACUCAAGCACAGUCUGAAUCCAAGAUUAAUAACCGAGAAGAUGCAAAUUUUCUCCAAUUUUAAAAAAAAAUGUGUUGCUAAAUCCUUCAUUGAACGAGUAAGUGCUCAAGACGCAACGGGCCUCCUGCAGCUCUUCCUUCCUAUUGCCAGUGUGGGCUCCCAAUUAUAUGAAUGUAGGUCUAAGGACACUGGAGAAGAAAUUUUCAGCAUUGCACCAUUCAAGCAAAUGUUCAACGUCCAACCAAAUAGCUAA